CGCAUCUGUGCAUGCAGCAUAUCAAUAAGCGGAGGAAAAGAAACUAACAAGGAUUCCCCUAGUAACGGCGAGUGAAGCGGGAAGAGCUCAAAUUUGAAAUCUUAAAGGGUUUCCCUUUACGAAUUGUAGUUUAAAGAAGUGUUUUCUGUUGAGGUUUUGGUAAAAGUUCUUUGGAAUAGGACAUCAUAGAGGGUGAGAAUCCCGUAUUUGACCUUUACUUUCAACUUUGUGAUACACUUUCAAAGAGUCGGAUUGUUUGGGAAUGCAGUCCAAAAUGGGCGGUAAAUUUCAUCUAAAGCUAAAUAUUGGCGAGAGACCGAUAGCGAACAAGUACCGUGAGGGAAAGAUGAAAAGAACUUUGAAAAGAGAGUUAAACAGUACGUGAAAUUGUCAAAAGGGAAGCGUUUGACACCAGUGUUGUUUUUCUGAAAAUCAAUUAAAGAACUGUUUAUGCUAAGUUGUUUAGACUUUAUCAGCUAACUGUUUAGUUUUGAGCUUUUCUUUAAUGCACUUUUCAGUUAACAAGUCAACAUCAAUUUCUUUUGCUGUAAAAAAGCUUGAGGAAGGUGGCUUGAGAUUCGUCUUAAGUGUUUAUAGCCUCUUGCCUAUGCAGUCGGAGAGAUUGAGGUCUGCAGCGUAGAUCCUUCGGGGCUAAAUGCAUUUGUGCUAAGUUAUAGCAUUUUAUAGACAACUUGUUGACUAUGAUUUGUCUUGUAGCUUACUCGCUUAUGUUAUUUUACCUACGCUUAGGAUGUUGAGCGCAUGUCUCUCUCU
rnacentral:rRNA from 1 species